rnacentral:rRNA from 1 species
UGUCUAAUCUGCCCACUGAUAUAAUAUUAAAGGGGUGCAGUAUUUUGAGUGUACAAAGGUAGCAUAAUCAUUAGUCUUUUAAUUGAAGACUUGUAUGAAUGAUUGGAUGAAAUAUAAACUGUCUCUAAUAUUAUUAGUUAGAAUUUAAUUUUUUUAUUAAAAAGUAAAAAUAAAUUUAAAAGACGAGAAGACCCUAUAGAGUUUUAUAAUUAAUUUAAUUGAAAUUAUUUAUAAAGAUAAUUUUAAAUUAAUAAAUUAAAAUUAAGUUAAUUAUUUUGUUGGGGUGAUAAAAAAAUAAAAAUAACUUUUUUUAAUAAAUAUAUAUAUAUAUAUAUAUAUAUAUAUAUAUAUUGUAAACAAAAAUAAAUGAUUUUUUGAUCCAGAAUUUUUGAUUAUAAGAAAAAAUUACCUUAGGGAUAACAGCGUAAUUUUUUUUUUUAGUUCAAAUAAGAAAAAGAGUUUGCGACCUCGAUGUUGGAUUAAGGAAAAAUUUAAAUGCAAAAGUUUAAAAUUUUG